AAUCCNCAAAACCCCCCCUUCUUUGGGAGUUUUGGAAUUGGAGGUCUAAUGCUCGCUUUUGCCUUUGAAGGCGAGCUCCUCUCAAAUGAAUCAGUGGGGUCUGCUUUGCUGGUCCUUGACGUGAUAAGAUGUUUCUACGUUUUGGAUUUGGCAUCGUCCCUGCUCCUAAUCGUCUCCAGGACAAUGAUGGUGCUUCCGGUCACCGCCAAUCCACAUUGGCGCGAGGCUNNNNCCACAAAAAUAAAA
rnacentral:misc_RNA from 1 species